GCUUGUCGCCGGCAUCCGGAUGGAUGCGGGAGGAAAGUCCGGGCAGCACAGGGUGUCCCACUUCUGAAAAUGGAAGCUAUUGGCGACAGUAGGUCAGGGCAGAAGAAAACAACCGCCGCGGCUGGUCUGCGGUAAGGGUGAGAAGGUGGUGCAAGAGACCACCAGCCGCCGGGUGAUCGGCGGGCUGUGUCCACUGGGAGCUGCAAGUUCAUGUAUACCAUCGUCUGAGGGUUGCCCGCCCGAAUACUUACGAUGGAGGGUAGAACGCUUGAGCCGGCUGGUGACAGGCGGAUUAGAUAAAUGACAGGCACUGCGCCGGAGGAGAUGCCGGCGUAUGCACAGAACCCGGCUUAUAGGGGCACU
rnacentral:RNase_P_RNA from 1 species